CAUACCAUUUUUAGAACUUUAACUUCAAAUUGUGUGCAUGUGUAACUGAGCUGACAAUUGUGAAACUGCCUUAAAAACAUAUAUUUAAUGAUACAAACUUCUCCCAACAGUAGUUUUUUUUUAUCAGUAAUCUUGUUUGAGGGAUUGCAGGCUCUCUGCUCACCUCUCUCUUUUUUUCUGUUGUCUGCAUGGCCUUUCCUUCUGGCUCUUCCUCAGGCUGAAUCCUCUUGACUGUGUGAGCAGGUCACACAGAUGCUGCUGCUCAGUUUCUUGCAGAGCUGCACAGAAGCUGCUGAAGGCUCUGGGCCCUCGCUUUGAUUUAUCACGUGACCCCUUAUUGUUCCUGACUACCAGGUUGGGAUACACUCAUUUCAAGCAUUCAAGUUGAAG